rnacentral:rRNA from 1 species
UAGGGAAUCUUCCGCAAUGGACGAAAGUCUGACGGAGCAACGCCGCGUGAGUGAAGAAGGAUUUCGGUUCGUAAAACUCUGUUGUUAGGGAAGAAAAAAUGUAUAGUAACUAUAUACAAAAGAGACGGUACCUAACCAGAAAGCCACGGCUAACUACGUGCCAGCAGCCGCGGUAAUACGUAGGUGGCAAGCGUUGUCCGGAAUUAUUGGGCGUAAAGCGCGCGCAGGUGGUCUAGAAAGUCUGAUGUGAAAGCCCACGGCUCAACCGUGGAGGGUACUUGGAAACUAAUAAACUUGAGUGCAGGCGAGAAAAGUGGAAUUCCUAGUGUAGCGGUGAAAUGCGUAGAGAUUAGGAGGAACCCCGGUGGCGAAAGCGGCUUUUUGGCCUGCAACUGACACUGAGGCGCGAAAGCGUGGGGAGCAAACAGG